GACGAACGCUGGCGGCGUGCCUAAUACAUGCAAGUCGAGCGGACCACUUCGGUGGUCAGCGGCGGACGGGCGAGUAACACGUGGGCAACCUGCCUGUAAGACUGGGAUAACACCGGGAAACCGGUGCUAAUACCGGAUAAUCCUUUCCUUCACAUGAGGGAAAGCUGAAAGACGGUUUCGGCUGUCACUUACAGAUGGGCCCGCGGCGCAUUAGCUAGUUGGUGAGGUAACGGCUCACCAAGGCAACGAUGCGUAGCCGACCUGAGAGGGUGAUCGGCCACACUGGGACUGAGACACGGCCCAGACUCCUACGGGAGGCAGCAGUAGGGAAUCUUCCGCAAUGGACGAAAGUCUGACGGAGCAACGCCGCGUGAGCGAUGAAGGCCUUCGGGUCGUAAAGCUCUGUUGUCAGGGAAGAACAAGUACCGGAGUAACUGCCGGUACCUUGACGGUACCUGACCAGAAAGCCACGGCUAACUACGUGCCAGCCGCCGCGGUAAUAC
rnacentral:rRNA from 1 species